rnacentral:tRNA from 1 species
UCCCUGGUGGUCCAGAGGUUAGGACGUCAUGAUUCAACUGCAGGGGGCACAGGUUUGAUCCCUGUUUGGGGAA